rfam:Papio anubis isolate 1X1155 chromosome 8, whole genome shotgun sequence.
GUCGGCUAUGGUGACAUUUACCCUAAGACAUUACUAGGGAAAAUCGUGGGAGGCCUGUGCUGUAUUGCUGGGGUUCUGGUUAUUGCCCUUCCUAUCCCAAUUAUUGUGAACAAU